GAUGAACGCUGGCGGCGUGCCUAAUACAUGCAAGUCGAGCGAACAGACGAGGAGCUUGCUCCUUUGACGUUAGCGGCGGACGGGUGAGUAACACGUGGAUAACCUACCUAUAAGACUGGGAUAACUUCGGGAAACCGGAGCUAAUACCGGAUAACAUGUUGAACCGCAUGGUUCAACAGUGAAAGAAGGUCUUGCUGUCACUUAUAGAUGGAUCCGCGCCGCAUUAGCUAGUUGGUAAGGUAACGGCUUACCAAGGCAACGAUGCGUAGCCGACCUGAGAGGGGGAUCGGCCACACGGGAAGUGAGACACGGUCCAGACUCCGACGGGAGGCAGCAGUAGGGAAUCGUCCGCAAUGGGCGAAAGCCUGACGGAGCAACGCCGCGUGAGUGAAGAAGGUCUUCGGAUCGUAAAACUCUGUUAUUAGGGAAGAACAAAUGUGUAAGUAACUAUGCACGUCUUGACGGUACCUAAUCAGAAAGCCACGGCUAACUACGUG
rnacentral:rRNA from 1 species